rnacentral:rRNA from 1 species
UACGUAGGCAGCGAGCGUUGUUCGGAGUUACUGGGCGUAAAGCGCGUGUAGGCGGUUCGGUAAGUCCGCUGUAAAAGUCCAGGCUCAACCCUGGAACGCCGGUGGAUACUGUCGGGCUAGAGUCCGGAAGAGGCGAGUGGAAUUCCUGGUGUAGCGGUGAAAUGCGCAGAUAUCAGGAAGAACACCCGUGGCGAAAGCGGCUCUCUGGAACGGUACUGACGCUGAGACGCGAAAGCGUGGGGAGCGAACAGG